AGGUGCGAUCAUACCAGCACUAAUGCACCGGAUCCCAUCAGAACUCCGCAGUCACGCGUGCUUGGGCGAGAGUUGUACUGGGUGGGUGACCUCC
rnacentral:rRNA from 1 species